GCUCAGGAUGAACGCUGGCGGCGUGCCUAAUACAUGCAAGUCGAACGAGUUCUCGUUGAUGAUCGGUGCUUGCACCGAGAUUCAACAUGGAACGAGUGGCGGACGGGUGAGUAACACGUGGGUAACCUGCCCUUAAGUGGGGGAUAACAUUUGGAAACAGAUGCUAAUACCGCAUAGAUCCAAGAACCGCAUGGUUCUUGGCUGAAAGAUGGCGUAAGCUAUCGCUUUUGGAUGGACCCGCGGCGUAUUAGCUAGUUGGUGAGGUAAUGGCUCACCAAGGCGAUGAUACGUAGCCGAACUGAGAGGUUGAUCGGCCACAUUGGGACUGAGACACGGCCCAAACUCCUACGGGAGGCAGCAGUAGGGAAUCUUCCACAAUGGACGCAAGUCUGAUGGAGCAACGCCGCGUGAGUGAAGAAGGCUUUCGGGUCGUAAAACUCUGUUGUUGGAGAAGAAUGGUCGGCAGAGUAACUGUUGUCGGCGUGACGGUAUCCAACCAGAAAGCCACGGCUAACUACGUGCCAGCAGCCGCGGUAAUACGUAGGUGGCAAGCGUUAUCCGGAUUUAUUGGGCGUAAAGCGAGCGCAGGCGGUUUUUUAAGUCUGAUGUGAAAGCCCUCGGCUUAACCGAGGAAGCGCAUCGGAAACUGGGAAACUUGAGUGCAGAAGAGGACAGUGGAACUCCAUGUGUAGCGGUGAAAUGCGUAGAUAUAUGGAAGAACACCAGUGGCGAAGGCGGCUGUCUGGUCUGUAACUGACGCUGAGGCUCGAAAGCAUGGGUAGCGAACAGGAUUAGAUACCCUGGUAGUCCAUGCCGUAAACGAUGAAUGCUAGGUGUUGGAGGGUUUCCGCCCUUCAGUGCCGCAGCUAAC
rnacentral:rRNA from 1 species